GGGGGAAGGAGAUAAACGUGACACACCCUUACCUUCCUGGGAAAAGCACACCUUAGGGUAUACAGGUGGACUUAAAUGUUGCCCUAAAUGUGGGAUAUGGAUGUUAAUUCCUGGUGGGUUUACCUGUGAAGAAAGUGGAGGGGAAGGGGAUACUUUUUAGUUGGACCUGCGGACGGAACUUUUGACGACAAAGACGACAAACUGCAGUAAUCAACUGCUUUCAGCUUGGCGGCCAUUUUGACCUUUCACCUUUCUUCUUACAAACACAGCGUGGAAGAGCCAAGAUCACUUGAGGAUGCGGCUGAUUGUCGCCCCCCCCCCCCCCCCCCACCCAGACAUCCCGCCUUGCAACCUUCCUCACAAAACUGUGCUGUGAGGACAACUUCACUGAACCACGAUGAGCGACCUGACCCCUCUGAAGAAAAAAGCCAGAGGAAGCGCUGCGCUCCCCGAGGCUCGUCCGAAGCAGCCUUAGAUCUCGCUCAUGGCAACAGAAUCAUCCAAACUCUGUGCGGUAAUUGGCGGCUAGUGAUGUGGAGCCUGUAAUUACUGCAGAGUCAAGGUGGCCUUUAUUCCCCAGCAUCAUUUUCCAGCACGUCACAGAGGAUUAGCAUUCCGUCGUCGCCGACUGUUUACCAGGAAGGUGAAUACCUUUUAACAACAAGAGGCAGCGUAUUGUUAUGUAAAGAAAAUGGAGGAUUAUACUUGCCAACAUAAACAUUCUCACCAGCGAGGAUUUAGCAGCGCAGGCUUAUGUGCUCACUGAACGUGCACGUGAAA